rnacentral:rRNA from 1 species
UACAGAGGGGGCAAGCGUUGUUCGGAAUCACUGGGCGUAAAGGGCGCGUAGGUGGCGGGCCAAGUCCAUGGUGAAAGCUCGAUGCUCAACAUCGAGUCGGCCACGGAUACUGGUUCGCUGGAGCACUGUAGAGGCUAAUGGAAUUCCGGGUGUAGCGGUGGAAUGCGUAGAGAUCCGGAAGAACACCGGUGGCGAAGGCGGUUAGCUGGGCAGUUGCUGACACUGAGGCGCGACAGCGUGGGGAGCAAACAGG